rnacentral:sRNA from 1 species
UCUGUGUAUGGUGGUGCAUACCUGUAAUCCCAACAGCUUGGGAGGCUGAGGCAAGGGGAUCAAAAGUUCAAGGCCAGCCUCAGCAACUUUGUGAGGCCUUAAGCAACUUAGUGAGACCUUGUUUCAA